UUGGCUGGGCUACUAACAAAUACAGUAGCUGAGAAUGACAAAUACAGGAUCUGAGAAAUGGUGACACAUUGCCACUAAAAAUAUGCAAUAACAAAAACAAAUCUGUUGUCUGCAAGUUUACAUGUGGAUCUUGUGUUAUGAAAAACUCCAAAGAACCAAAUGACACAAGCACAAGGAGAGGUCUAAAUAAAUAAUAGAUCAAAGUACAGAAACAUCAUUCAACAAAUUUAUGGCUGUGAGGCUGACUAUGAAGAAGAACAUAGUACCCCUAUUCUAUUGUAAAAGGUGAAAUUUCAAAGAGAUCAAUAAGAUCUGAAAUGGUUGUUGGUCAACUGGAACUGAUUCUUUAAUUACUAAUAGACUGUACCACAAUCAAGACUACUGACAUUUGUACUAGUAUCACUCUGUUUCAUCCGAGUGAUUAGAGAACCAAGUAGAUGAGGUUCCCAAAAGUUGUUCACAACUUAUCUGUUUGAGAGAUG